rnacentral:rRNA from 1 species
GGGAUUUUGCGCAUGGGCGAANCCUGNGCACAACGCCGCGUGGAGGAUGAAGGCCUUCGGGUCGUAAACUCCUGUCAGUGGGGACGAAUGCUUCGCAAGAGGUUUGACUGUACCCGCUGAGGAAGCCACGGCUAACUCCGUGCCAGCAGCCGCGGUAAUACGGAGGUGGCAAGCGUUGUUCGGAAUUACNUGGGCGUAAAGGGCGCGUAGGCNGGCNUUGGCAAGUCAGAUGUGAAAGCCCCGAGCUUAACUCGGGAAUUGCAUCUGAAACUGCUUUGCUUGAGUCCUGGAGGGGAUAGUGGAAUUCCCAGUGUAGCGGUGAAAUGCGUAGAUAUUGGGAGGAACACCUGCGGCGAAGGCGGCUAUCUGGACAGUGACUGACGCUGAGGCGCGAAAGCUAGGGGAGCGAACGGGAUUAGAUACCCCGGUAGUCCUAGCCGUAAACGAUGGGCACUUGGUGUUGGGGGUAUUGAGUCCCUCGGUGCCGGAGUUAACACGUUAAGUGCCCCGCCUGGGGAGUACGGUCGCAAGACUGAAACUCAAAGAAAUUGACGGA